rnacentral:rRNA from 1 species
AACGAACGCUGGCGGCAUGCCUAACACAUGCAAGUCGAACGAGACCUUCGGGUCUAGUGGCGCACGGGUGCGUAACGCGUGGGAACCUGCCCUUAGGUUCGGAAUAACUCCCCGAAAGGGGUGCUAAUACCGGAUAAUGUCUUCGGACCAAAGAUUUAUCGCCUUUGGAUGGGCCCGCGUUGGAUUAGCUAGUUGGUAGGGUAAAAGCCUACCAAGGCGACGAUCCAUAGCUGGUCUGAGAGGAUGAUCAGCCACACUGGGACUGAGACACGGCCCAGACUCCUACGGAAGGCAGCAGUGGGGAAUAUUGAACAAUGGGCGAAAGCCUGAUCCAGCAAGGCCGCGUGAGUGAUGAAGGCCUAGGGUUGUAAAGCUCUUUUACCCGGGAUGAUAAUGACAGUACCGGGAGAAUAAGCUCCGGCUAACUCCGUG